GAUGUGGUUAAUGGUUGAUCAUGAAGGACCAUGGCCUAGGAGAGUGACCUUCAUUGCACUUAGGAAGGGUGUUAUCCUAAGGUCUACCCAAGUGGUGGAACCUACAUCAUAAUUUGUAGUUUCUUUUGAUUUCUACAUGUUUUAGGAGAUUGUGAAAUAGCCAAAAACAUAUAGAAGAGUUAGAUGUAAGGAUUAAAUGUAUUUAGAAAGUUAUACGAAGACUAAAUACAAUAAAAAAUGAUGAAAUCAAAAGAAACUCAAUUUUUUCUUAUGCUUCCUUGUUAGUACUUAGCAUUCCUUCUCCAUUUAUUCCAGGAAUGUAAUGGACUACUAUGAGAUUAUCAAGAUGAUACCAUCAAUUUAUUUAUCUUUGCAAUUGAAGUAUUUUUUCCUCUCAAACUAGGUGUUGCAGAUUAUUUAUGGAAAAUGUUUUGUUUCCGUCA